rnacentral:lncRNA from 12 species
AUUCGGGGCGGGGCGCGGCGGGGGCCGCGGAGGCCGCGCGCCAGGGACUCCCCGCGUGCGAGGAGCGGUGCUUGAAGCCCCGCGGAAGCUCGGGAGCAGAGCGGUGCCCGGAGGCUUCGCGUAACUUUGCCCACUGCGCCCCCGCGUGCAGAGGCGUCCCCUCGCACUCACACCCUCACCCCGCCCCGCGCCCCCCUCCGCCCCCAGCCGCGGCCCCGAGCCGGCCUUUGUAUUUCAGUGACUGGGAAAGACCUGCUCCUCCGAGCCAAAGAAGGAGGGAUGGGAACUGCGGACAUCCAUUCCACUGCCCGGCACCCCCCACCCCGCCCCAUACGGAGGGAGAGCGGCCGGUUCUCCCCGAGAGCGUUCGCUCCGCUCCCCUCUGCCCUUGGGUCUCCCAGCUUCUUUACCGCGGUGCACUGAAGACGGCAGGGAUCUUCAGCAUCUUUCUCCCGAAAUCCACGCCCAUGUUGGCCUGUCUGCUGGAUCUGGUUGAAAUUCCCAGAAUUGGUUUUCGGAUCUGACGACGGUUCUUUGUAAGGUUUUAGAUUUCUUACAUGCAAUCUUCCCUCCUACCUUCCUCUAAGGGCUUUAAGAAAGAACGGUGGAGGGGCGGGGCGGGCAGGGGGCCUGAAAUAACACCGAGGAGAUGUCAAAGCAAAGUGUGCUUAACCCAGAACCAGAUGCAUAAGUGAUAUCUGCAAGAGUUUGACUAAGAACUCACAGCAGAUCCCCCUUCCCAUAAAUAAGUACAUGCAAGUCUGCAUGGAUGGAUGAUGAGGUUUGUUGGAAGACGGGUCAGAACUUGCGUUAACUUUUAAGUUAUUGGGGUUUUAUGUUGCCAAAGGGCUUGUGUUGCCAAUGGGCGGAAGAAGGGGUUGACCCUAGGUUUGGCCGCUGGUUUCAGAGAUGGAGCCAAUAUCUUAGGCGACUUCUCGGCUCCGACCUGACUGAUCGCUUCUCCCCUAUCAGAAAACAAACCGGGAGUCGCCCGAGAUAGGGGGCUCGGGCCUCCUGCCUGGCUCUAGGGCGGCCCGAGACCUGGGAGAGCGCCGCGGCUUGGGCAAGAGAGGUUGCCAGGAGCCCGGCCUGUACGUGUCCCCGACAGUAGGGGACAGGACAGGGCUCCGCGUACGUAGCUCACCGAGCUGGGCUACUACGGACCGAGCUCGCCUGCCCGGCGUCGCGCGCGCUCCUAUUUCAACCAGCCGCUCCUGCGCCCUAUUGCGGGCUGCGAACUGCCGCGGCAGAGCGUGGCGAGCCGCGAGCCUCCGCUGCGUUGGCUGGGGGGGCUGAGGGGGUGGGGGGUGGGGGAGCUUCCUUGUCUGCCAAGCGGGUUACCCCGACUUCCACUCCGGCCUGCCUUCCCGCCCCCCACCCCCACCGCGCCCCGGGAGUGACAGAGGGCUUUCUGGGGUUCGCAGGGAACUUUUCCUGCCGCCAGUUCCCGGGCGAAGAGUGUGCAAGACGUGCAUCGGAGCGCUAGGUGCAAUUGACAGAACUUGUGGGCUUAAAGUUCAAGCCAUUUCCUUCCAGACUCUGAAUCUUUUCGCUCUCUCGCUCCAUUUCUGCCCCCUUGUCCCCCUCGUCCUUCCCUGCCCUCCUUCCUUUUAAACGUCAAAAUGAGCAGAUGGUUUAAGGGUGUGGAGGGCAUAUAUCCUUUCCUCCUACCAGUUCAUCUGUGGGCUGGCACUAAUAUGUGUACAAACUAGGCUACUUCAAGAAAAUAAUAGGACGGGAAAGAAGAGAGGAAGUAGCCUUGAUCCUCUCAACAGCACCCACAUUUCUGCGCUCAAUACACCCGCUUACCUCGAAAGGACCCAACCAAUAGACGCAUUAUUCCAUCCUGCAUCUAAUGGGCAUGUUGCUAGAUUAUUUCUCUUCCCAGCCUAAAUUGUCACAUCUCGAUUAUAACACUUGAUACAAUAGCCGGUCACUGGAAGUGUGAGUGGUGUGUUUGUAUGCCUCUGUGUUGUUUCCGUGAUGGUGUGGAGGGAGUGUCUGGGGGCGGUGGAAAGGGAGGAAUGAAGGCUGGGGAUGCUCAAGCAAGUCUCUUUUCUUAUCCCUGACACCUACCCUGGCCAGCUUGAUUUUUUUUUUCUUCUUUUCAAUGUUUGAAUUCCGUGCCAAAAGUUUCCUACAGGGUCUAGUCUCAGGCACGUUAUCAUCUCUAUUCUUAUUCAAAGAGAAGACUUCUUCACAUUUUGACGAAUGUGAGGCUGAAAUUGUAAAUGUCCUAAGAAAGGUGUGUGUGUGUGUGUGUGUGCACGCGCGCGUGCGUGCGUGCGCCCGUGCAUGUAUUGCAGAAGAUGGUGGUAGUUGUCGGCCAGUGUACUUGUAACACACCUCACAAACACUCUGUUGUCCCAACCAACGUCAUUCAACCUUUGAUCUGCCUGAAUUCGAGGAACAUAGGAAAGAUACUUGUCCCCAUCCUACCUAAAAACUGAGUGUCUAAUCGACUAGGUAUGAAUGUUUCUGCUUCGCAGACCUUGUAAGUCCUGGCUUUUAUAGGGUCUUUAGGUCAUAAACGCGGUUGCUUUAUUAAAAGCCGUUUACUGUGCCCGGUGAAAGACACGUCGUGGCUGUGGCUAGAAAUGCCCUUUAGCAUUUGCAACUUGCAAAACCCCCAAGGAGCUCUUUAAGAGCCCCAUUAUCUAAAGAAAGCUUGCUGGUUAUUUUUCAUCCAAGAAAUGUCAAAGCAAAGUGAAUUUCCUACAGCUUUACGUUGAAGCCCGAAAUCUGAGCGUUUGAAAUUUCUUACCUAAUAAACUUUAAGGUUUGUUUCCCA